rnacentral:rRNA from 1 species
GAUGAACGCUGGCGGCGUGCCUAAUACAUGCCAGUCGAGCGAACAGACGAGGAGCUUGCUCCUCUGACGUUAGCGGCGGACGGGUGAGUAACACGUGGAUAACCUACCUAUAAAACUGGGAUAACUUCGGGAAACCGGAGCUAAUACCGGAUAAUAUAUUGAACCGCAUGGUUCAAUAGUGAAAGACGGUUUUGCUGUCACUUAUAGAUGGAUCCGCGCCGCAUUAGCUAGUUGGUAAGGUAACGGCUUACCAAGGCAACGAUGCGUAGCCGACCUGAGAGGGUGAUCGGCCACACUGGAACUGAGACACGGUCCAGACUCCUACGGGAGGCAGCAGUAGGGAAUCUUCCGCAAUGGGCGAAAGCCUGACGGAGCAACGCCGCGUGAGUGAUGAAGGUCUUCGGAUCGUAAAACUCUGUUAUUAGGGAAGAACAAAUGUGUAAGUAACUAUGCACGUCUUGACGGUACCUAAUCAGAAAGCCACGGCUAACUACGUG